GAUCAUGGCUCAGAUUGAACGCUGGCGGCAGGCAUAACACAUGCAAGUCGAACGGUAACAGGAAACAGCUUGCUGUUUCGCUGACGAGUGGCGGACGGGUGAGUAAUGUCUGGGAAACUGCCUGAUGGGAGGGGGAUAACUACUGGAAACGGUAGCUAAUACCGCAUAAUGUCGCAAGACCAAAGAGGGGGACCUCGGCCGUCUUGCCAUCGGAGUGUGCCCACGAGUGGGAGUUAAGU
rnacentral:rRNA from 1 species